UCUUCAGGAAGCGCUAGGAGCAUCCUUUAACGGAGGUACCCAGUCGGGGUGCCAGGCGAUCCGUUACAUUGGUGGCAGCGGUGGGAUGGCAUCCUAGUGCGAGGUAAAGCAGCUCAGAUACACAGUUCGUGGAUUUACAAAUUGAAGGCGACGCUAGUGUUCAUACAGCGUCCCUGUCUACAUAAAGAUUUGGGAAAACCAGCACUACUUCAGAGAUGGAAGGCCGUGCAGUAUCUCACUUUGACGCCAGGCUCCAGCAGCGACUACAGGAUGUGAUGCGCAGUAUGGAGUAUCCUAUCCCAGAGGAAAGAGAGGCAGAGUGGAGGGUGGCGCUUCGUACCGAUCUCUGGAAGGAGGACAUCGACGAAAUUCGACCCUUCCGGUGCGAGGAAAUCCUGACCACUAACCAGCGCCAAGCAGAACAACUAGAGCUGCGGAUGCCGUUAUUGGGAAACCAGCCCUCAGAGGAAUGGUAAGCGAACUGGAGACGCUAGUUGAGACUGAGGUGUGGCUGGAUGAUUCCUAUCGGGCCCUGCGGUGGCAUGUUUACCACCUCUACCCAUGGCUGAUUGAGUACAAGUGUAUUGAGGGGGAAGACUACGAUGGCCCUGGUUUGUUGUGGGAUACUAUUGAAACUAGUCUCUGGUUCGGAGACACCGACAUUGCUCGCUUUUGGUCCAUCCGAGCUGAGCGGGCAGACAACUGGGACCUUACAGAGAUCGAUGCCAUUCAGCCAGAUCUAUCUUUUCUUGCCAACCGAGAGUGGGAACUAGAACAGGAUUAUGUUUGCCUAUUCCAACGUAUAACGCCGCCUGUCUCUGACAUGAUGGGGCUUAUUGACUGUAUACCACCGGAAGCAUUGAGUUUAGUUCCUCCUCCCCAGCAACCAAGCCUGUUAUCAGGAGACCUUGGUACUGUACCACAUAUGUCCCAACCAGCCCCAGAGAUGGAAGACCUUAUUGACUUGUCCUGGGAAGACACCCAGCUGGCAGGUGGGGAUGGGACCGAGGUCUCUCUACAGGCCCUACAGGGAUGCUGGGCAGUCAGCCCAGAUCCCCAGCGGCAGUAUGUAUCCCAGGGAGCUGAAGGUGCUGUACUUCCUCCCCAGC